CCUGCAGCUCCAGUAACGAGCACACGAACUGGUUCUUUCGCCAUCGGAUCUAGAUCGGAGAUUAUCGCCGGAAAACGGAUCGAAUUUGGGAUAUUCGACUUUUGAGAGAGCGUAGAGUCAGCUUUUGUCUGACCGUGAAGCUCACUCUUGCGUA
rnacentral:sRNA from 1 species